rnacentral:rRNA from 1 species
GCUUGGGAACAUGCCUUGAGGUGGGGGACAACCAUUGGAAACGAUGGCUAAUACCGCAUAAUGUCUACGGACCAAAGGGGGCUUCGGCUCUCGCCUUUAGAUUGGCCCAAGUGGGAUUAGCUAGUUGGUGAGGUAAGGGCUCACCAAGGCGACGAUCCCUAGCUGGUUUGAGAGGAUGAUCAGCCACACUGGAACUGAGACACGGUCCAGACUCCUACGGGAGGCAGCAGUGGGGAAUAUUGCACAAUGGGCGCAACCUGAUGCAGCCAUGCCGCGUGUGUGAAGAAGGCCUUAGGGUUGUAAAGCACUUUCAGUCAGGAGGAAAGGUUAGUAGUUAAUACCUGCUAGCUGUGACGUUACUGACAGAAGAAGCACCGGCUAACUCCGUGCCAGCAGCCGCG